ACGCUCGACACCUACGGAGGCAGCAGUGGGGAAUAUUGCACAAUGGGGGAAACCCUGAUGCAGCGACGCCGCGUGGAGGAAGAAGGUCUUCGGAUUGUAAACUCCUGUCCCAGGGGACGAUAAUGACGGUACCCUGGGAGGAAGCACCGGCUAACUACGUGUCAGCAGCCGCGGUAAUCUGAGCGGGCUGGCAAGGC
rnacentral:rRNA from 1 species